GUUUGAUCCUGGCUCAGAUUGAACGCUGGCGGAAUGCUUUACACAUGCAAGUCGAACGGCAGCACGGGAGCUUGCUCCUGGUGGCGAGUGGCGAACGGGUGAGUAAUGCAUCGGAACGUACCUAUUAGUGGGGGAUAACUAUCCGAAAGGAUAGCUAAUACCGCAUACGUCCUGAGGGAGAAAGCAGGGGAUCGCAAGACCUUGCGCUAAUAGAGCGGCCGAUGUUCGAUUAGCUAGUUGGUGGGGUAAAGGCUCACCAAGGCGACGAUCGAUAGCUGGUCUGAGAGGAUGAUCAGCCACACUGGAACUGAGACACGGUCCAGACUCCUACGGGAGGCAGCAGUGGGGAAUUUUGGACAAUGGGGGCAACCCUGAUCCAGCCAUUCCGCGUGAGUGAAGAAGGCCUUCGGGUUGUAAAGCUCUUUCGGCAGGAACGAAACGGUCGUUGCUAAUACCAGCGGCUAAUGACGGUACCUGAAGAAGAAGCACCGGCUAACUACGUG
rnacentral:rRNA from 1 species